UGGAACUGCUGUGUGACCAGAAACAGCCUCAA
rnacentral:piRNA from 1 species